GGGUCUGCGUAAGCAUCUCAACUGGCUGCAUAAAUCAUACCCCGGGUAUCCGUUCUUCAUCACCGAGAACGGAUGGUCCGACCCGCCUGGAGUUCUGAACGACACAGCACGCAUCCACUACUACAGGUGAUACCUCUCCGCCCUCCUAAGAUCCAUCAACGAUGACGGCGUCCCAGUGAUCGGCUACACUGCCUGGAGCCUGCUCGACAACCUGGAGUGGAUGAGUGGAUACACGAUCAAGUUCGGCCUGUACUCCGUGGACUACGAUGAUCCAGAGCGCCCCAGAACUGCGAAGGCGUUAGUGCCGGUGAUGGCGCAGAUCUACAAGGAGAAGGCGGUCCCUCUGGAGGACUUCGAGAACACCGACAC